AGAGGCAGCAGUAAACAAGAAACGUCGUUGUUUCUGAGGCACAGCAUGGUGGGAUGGGAUCCAUCCCCCUUCAAACAACGCAAAAUCGGCAGCUUCUACAUCUUCUCUCCGAUUGUUCAAACCAAAAACCAUCCCUAAUUCCGUAAACACCACAAAAUCAAAAAACCCUAAAUCGGUCUCCAACUUUUAUGCCAUUCUCCGACAGAAUCGAGGAAAUCUACCCUGUGUUCGCAGGAUCUGUGUUCAGGUGCUAUCAAUUCACAAUCUCAAACACCAAUUCUCCGACGAAACUCUAAAUCUCUCGAAUCUCGCCAUUACUCCGAUAGAUUAGAGAAAUCUAAGUCGCCAACGCUUACUUUUCACUCCUGCUCUCAAACUCACGGCCUCAGACACAAUCCAGCAAAGGAACCAUAAUUACUCUGAAACUCACGCCUGGACAAACGACCACGGAAAAACAGAUGCCGCAAAACGGAGACGAAAUGCUCACCAACACUAGAAAAGAGAUGGAUUUUGGACAUCGUCACGGGGGCGGAGUUGCCGGAAAAAGGAAUAAGAGGCCCACAAUUUUCACCAGCUACAGAGCACCUCUCCUCCUCUUCACCUUCAUAAUAAUCGCUAUCUUCAUCUCCUCCAAAAUCUCCUUCUCUCCUUCUCUCCUUCCACUUUCCCCAGACUCACGCCCUCCCCAAUGCACCCACACUCCGGGAGACAAGUACCUCUGGUAUGCGCCCCACAGCGGUUUCAGCAACCAGCUCUCCGAAUUCAGGAAUGCUAUUUUGAUGGCCGCCAUUCUCAAUCGCACGCUGAUUGUGCCUCCUGUUCUCGAUCACCACGCGGUCGCCCUCGGGAGUUGCCCCAAAUUUAGGGUUUUGGAUCCGAAUGAAUUGAGAUUCAGAGUAUGGAACCACAGUAUUCAGCUAAUCCGUGAUCGCAGGUACGUAUCCAUGGCGGAUAUAGUUGAUCUUUCAUCUCUAGUGGUCACUUCAACUGUCAGAUUUAUGGAUUUCAGGAUUUUUGUGUCAAAGUGGUGUGACGUGAAUCUCAGUUUGGCUUGCACUGCAGACUCAAGUAUGCAUUCAUCGAUGCUUGAGAAACUAAGACAAUGUGGAUCUUUACUAUCUGGAUACGAUGGUAAUGUGGAAGCAUGUUUUGUUGCUUCCCAAGAAGAUUGCAGAACAACAGUAUGGACAUACCAAACUGAUGAUGAGGUUUUGGAUUCAUUUCAAGCUGAUGAAGAAUUCAAGAAGAAAAGGAAAUUUUCAUUUUCGAGGACAAGGAAAGAUGUUUCUAGGGCCCUUGGUCCUGGAUCCACAGCUGGAUCAGCCACUGUCCUGGCCUUUGGGAGCCUAUUUACCGGACCAUAUAAGGGAUCUGAAUCGCAUAUUGACAUCCAUGAAGCUCCAAACGAUCAAAGGGUACAGUUAGUAAUUCAGAAGAUUGAAUUUCUUCAAUUUGUGCCUGAAAUCUUGAAUGCUGGGAAGAGUUUUGCACACGAGACGAUUAGCGCUCCGUUUCUUUGUGCACAGCUUAGGUUAUUGGAUGGUCAGUUUAAGAACCACUGGGACGGUACUUUCCAAGUAUUGAAGCAAACCCUAGACUCGUUGAAACAGAAGGGCACUCUCCCAAUACAUGUAUUCAUAAUGACAGAUCUUCCCCGGGUUAAUUGGACUGGAAGUUAUCUGGGGGAUCUCGAAAAAGACUCUGAUGUUUUUAAGCUGUUUGUUCUGAGAGAAGACGACGAAUUAGUAGCUAAAACUGCUAAGAAACUUGUAAAUGCAGCAUAUGGAUUGAAGCUUCAAUAUGUUUCAAGCAGUUUUGAUGGAAGAGAGCAACAUUGCAGUCCUCUAUCAUUACCUGAUAUACUACUAUAUGUCGAAGAAACUAUCUGUGGUUGUGCUUCUCUAGGUUUCGUUGGGACUGCUGGUUCAACCAUUGCCAAUAGCAUAGAAUUGAUGAGAAAAAAUCAUGCAUGUUCAUGAUGAAGAUAGAAGAAUGUGAGACAGUAUUAAAUGUUGAUUAAACCUCAUUGAUGGAAUCAGAGAUAGAAGCAAGACUCAACAAAGUAUAAAGGAUCCUAUAAGGUCUCCAAUUCAGACAGUAGAAAUAUGAGAUCACCCCAUCAUCUGAAGGCAUGAUGCAGUGACUGAGUUGCAGGACUUGAAGAAGAACCAAAGUGAUACCACAUGAAUUUCCAGUUCUCAACAAAAUGGCAGGCAUCUCCCUUUUGUAGUCACUCAAAUACUCUCUCAUGACCUCCUCCACAAAACUUAGAUGAUGGAAGUGGAAGCUCCUCACUGAGGGUCAUCCUUACUAUCACAAGAGAUUUCCGAUAGUUGCCAGAGUCAAAUGAGAAGGUGAGAUCCAAGACACACCCUCUUCAUAUGUAUAUCCAUUAAAUUAAAUCACAACAGUUUGUUGGCUUCUUCAUCUUUUUUCUUAGAGAAUCACCCCUGUAAUUUGACUGCACUUUAUAUCAACCAAAGUUGAAUGGCAUAUAAUUUUAUUGUA